UUAAUACUUCCUCCGUUUCAAAAUUCUUGUCUUAAAUUUGUCUAGAUAUGAAUGUAUCUAGUCACGUUUUAGUAUUUCAAUACAUCCAUUUCUAGACAAACCUAAGACAAGAAUUUUAAGACGGAGGGAGUAGAAU
rnacentral:pre_miRNA from 1 species